GUCCCAGGCACCCCAGAGGCAUCCGAGCGCGGAGCGGAGGGAGUCUAGGGAGCCAGCGCCCGGCGGCUGGGAACGACCUGUCCCGUGGGUCCCUGGCACCCCAGCGGCAUCCGAGCGCGGAGCGGAGGGCUGCGGACCGCAGGCUCAUCUGUGGUGCCUCAAAGAGCAGUAAUUCAUUGUUCUCCAUGGUGAAUAUUCCAUUGUGCACAUGGACCUCUUCUUCUUUAUCCAUUCACCUGUUGAUGGACAUUUUGGUUGCUUCACCAUCUUGGCUAUUGUGAAUAAGGCUGCAGUGCAACUGAUACAGCCUGUGUCUUCCCGAUUCUGGACUUCUCAGGCCCUGGAAAUUACAGAAAUGAUCGGACACCC